rnacentral:tRNA from 3 species
GCCCGCGUAGCUCAGGGGAUAGAGCAACUGCCUCCUAAGCAGUAGGCCGCAGGUUCGAAUCCUGCCGCGGGCG